CUCUAAGGCCAUGCCACCCUGAACAAGCCUGAUCCCAUUUGAUCUCGGAAGCUAAGCAGGGUUGGGCGUGGUUAGCACUUGGAUGGGAGACCACCUAGGAAGACCAGGUGCUGUAGAUG
rnacentral:rRNA from 1 species